GAAACUGUGAAUGGCUCAUUAAAACAGUUACAUCUUACUUGACAGUCCAGAGGUUAAAUGGAUAUCUGUGGUAAUUCUAGAGCUAAUACACGAUCAACGGCGUGACUAUGUGGUAGCGCCACGGAUUCCGAUGUCGAAGCUAACCCAAGCUAUGCUUGGUUAUUUCGUGAAUGAGGGAAUUUAGUUAACCGCGCAAAUAUGGCGGUCGGUCAUUCAGGUUUCUGACCUAUCAGUUUUCGACGGCAGGGUAUUGGCCUGCCGUGGCAAUGACGGGUGACAGGGAAUUAGGGUUUGAUUCUGGAGAGGGAGCCUGAGAAACGGCUACCACAUCUAAGGAAGGCAGCAGGCGCGCAAAUUACCCAAUUCUGAUAUAGAGAGGUAGUGACAAGAAAUAACAAUACAGGGCAUCCAUGUCUUGUAAUUGGAAUGAGCAGAAUGCAAAUUUCUCUGUGAGUAUCGAUUGGAGGGCAAGUCUGGUGCCAGCAGCCGCGGUAAUUCCAGCUCCAAGAGCGUAUAUUAAAGUUGUUGCGGUUAAAAAGCUCGUAGUCGAAGUUCUGCCAAGGUUGUUUGGUCCACCCCCUGGGUGUGCAUCUUGAUUGACCUGGGCAUCUUUGUGAGGAACGCCACUGCACUUGAUUGUGUGGUGCGGUAUUCAUAACUUUUACCUUGAGGAAAUUAGAGUGUUUCAAGCGGGCGUGUGCCUUGAAUACAUUAGCAUGGGAUAAUGAUGUAGGACAUUGAUUCUACCAGUUGGACUUUGGAGUCGAUGUAAUGAUAGAGAGGAAUAGUUGGGGGUUCUCGUAUCACCACUUCAGAGGUGAAAUUCUUAAAUCGUGGAGCGACGGACCUUGGCGAAAGCCUUAAUCAAAGAUGUUUUCAUUGAUCAAGAACGAAAGUUAGGGGAUCGAAGACGAUCAGAUACCGUCCUAGUCUUAACCUUAAACUAUGCCGACUCGAGAUUGGAGGACGUUACUUUAAGACUCUUCCAGCACCGUAUGAGAAAUCAAAGUCUUCGGGCUCUGGGGGGAGUAUGGUCGCAAGGCUGAAACUUAAAGGAAUUGACGGAAGGGCACCACCAGGAGUGGAGCCUGCGGCUUAAUUUGACUCAACACGGGGAAACUUACCAGGGCCAGACAUAACUUGGAUAGACAGAUUGAUAGCUCUUUCUCGAUUUUAUGGGUGGUGGUGCAUGGCCGUUCUUAGUUGGUGGAGUGGUUUGUCUGGUUAAUUCCGUUAACGAACGAGACCUUGUCUUACUAAAUAUUUUCACGUAACUCCGGUUAGUUGGGCAAAUUCUUAGAAGGACUUUGUGUAUAUAAUGCAAGGAAGUUUGAGGCAAUAACAGGUCUGUGAUGCCCUUAGAUGUGCUGGGAUGCACGCGCGCUACAAUGAUACGAUCAACGAGUUUGGACCUGGCCCGAAAGGGUUGGGUAAUCUUGAAAUUGCACCGUGAUGGGGAUAGUGUAUUGAAAUUAUUGGACUUGAACGAGGAAUUCCUAGUAAGCGUGAGUCAUCAACUCGCGCUGAUUACGUCCCUGCCCU
rnacentral:rRNA from 1 species